AGUGGGGGAUAACGUACCGAAAGGUACGCUAAUACCGCAUAUGCCCUGAGGGGGAAAGGCGGGGAUCGCAAGACCUGUCGCUUUCGGAGUGGCCGAUAUCGGAUUAGCUAGAUGGUGAGGUAAAGGCUCACCAUGGCGACGAUCCGUAGCUGGUCUGAGAGGACGACCAGCCACACUGGGACUGAGACACGGCCCAGACUCCUACGGGAGGCAGCAGUGGGGAAUUUUGGACAAUGGGGGCAACCCUGAUCCAGCCAUACCGCGUGAGUGAAGAAGGCCUUCGGGUUGUAAAGCUCUUUCGGACAGAAAGAAAUCGUGCGGGCUAAUACCCCGUAUGGAUGACGGUACUGUAAGAAGAAGCACCGGCUAACUACGUGCCAGCAGCCGCGGUAAUACGUAGGGUGCGAGCGUUAAUCGGAAUUACUGGGCGUAAAGCGUGCGCAGGCGGUUUUGUAAGACAGGUGUGAAAUCCCCGGGCUUAACCUGGGAACUGCAUUUGUGACUGCAAGGCUAGAGUGCGGCAGAGGGGGGUAGAAUUCCA
rnacentral:rRNA from 1 species